rnacentral:hammerhead_ribozyme from 1 species
AUCCAACUGAUGAGUCCCAAAUAGAACGAAACACGCGUCUUAGAU